rnacentral:rRNA from 1 species
UACGGAGGAUCCGAGCGUUAUCCGGAUUUAUUGGGUUUAAAGGGUGCGUAGGCGGGCUAUUAAGUCAGUGGUGAAAUCCUGCAGCUUAACUGCAGAACUGCCGUUGAUACUGAUAGUCUUGAGUUUGGUUAAGGUAGGCGGAAUGUGUAAUGUAGCGGUGAAAUGCUUAGAUAUUACACAGAACACCGAUUGCGAAGGCAGCUUGCUGGGUCAUUACUGACGCUGAUGCACGAAAGCGUGGGGAUCAAACAGGAUUA